AUUGAACGCUGGCGGCAGGCCUAACACAUGCAAGUCGAACGAGUGGCGGACGGGUGAGUAAUGUAUGGGAAACUGCCCGAUAGAGGGGGAUAACUACUGGAAACGGUAGCUCAUACCGCAUACCAUCGGAUGUGCCCAUAGGGGAUUAGCUAGUAGGUGGGGUAACGGCUAACCUAGGCGACGAUCACUAGCUGGUCUGAGCGGAUAACCAGCCACACUGGAACUGAGACACGGUCCAUACUCCGACGGGAGGCAGCAGUGGGGAAUAUUGCACAAUGGGCGCAAGCCUGAUGCAGCCAUGCCGCGUGUAUGAAGAAGGCCUUAGGGUUGUAAAGUACUUUCAGCGAGGAGGCGUUACUCGCAGAAGAAGCACCGGCUAACUCCGUGCCAGCAGCCGCGGUAAUAC
rnacentral:rRNA from 1 species